rnacentral:rRNA from 1 species
UACGGAGGGGGCUAGCGUUGUUCGGAAUUAUUGGGCGUAAAGCGCGCGCAGGCGGCCUUUUAAGUCUGAUGUGAAAGCCCACGGCUCAACCGUGGAGGGUCAUUGGAAACUGGAAGGCUUGAGUGCAGAAGAGAAGAGCGGAAUUCCACGUGUAGCGGUGAAAUGCGUAGAGAUGUGGAGGAACACCAGUGGCGAAGGCGGCUCUUUGGUCUGUAACUGACGCUGAGGCGCGAAAGCGUGGGGAGCAAACAGG